rnacentral:rRNA from 1 species
UGGGGAAUAUUGCACAAUGGGCGCAAGCCUGAUGCAGCCAUGCCGCGUGUAUGAAGAAGGCCUUCGGGUUGUAAAGUACUUUCAGCGAGGAGGAAGGCGUUGUGGUUAAUAACCGCAACGAUUGACGUUACUCGCAGAAGAAGCACCGGCUAACUCCGUGCCAGCAGCCGCGGUAAUACGGAGGGUGCAAGCGUUAAUCGGAAUUACUGGGCGUAAAGCGCACGCAGGCGGUCUGCCAAGUCGGAUGUGAAAUCCCCGGGCUCAACCGGGGAACUGCAUCCGAAACUGGCAGGCUAGAGUCUUGUAGAGGGGGGUAGAAUUCCAGGUGUAGCGGUGAAAUGCGUAGAGUUCUGGAGGAAUACCGGUGGCGAAGGCGGCCCCCUGGACAAAGACUGACGCUCAGGUGCGAAAGCGUGGGGAGCAAACA